rnacentral:misc_RNA from 1 species
UUCUUUGACAGCCAACACCAAGAGGUUAGCAAUGAUGUAUAUAUCCUAUGUCAGAAGAGAGCCAUAUUAUCAAUGCCAUUGUAGUUAGGGGAGGCCGUCACUGAAGUACAUGAGCAAUUUCACUUUGCAACAUAUUGACCAUCUGUCGCUGAACUAUCAUUAUCAUAACAUCAUAUUUUAGCAUUGCCUUUUCAACCUACUAAUGCUCCUUGAUGAAGGGGCUCAGUGGGCUCUCUCUUUUUUCUCUUCAAUACCUAGACAUAGAUGAAUUUCUACCCCUUGUUUUUGCCUUUUAUUUUCCCUAUGAUCAAAUGACAUUCUUGGCUUAGGUAUUUAUAUAUUCUUCUAAACAUCACCAAAUUGAGCAUCAUACCAUCAUUUCUGAAUGA